rnacentral:lncRNA from 1 species
CUGUGCUUCGUGGAGACUGACGGGUCNCGGGGCCGAGGUGGACCCCAAACCAGACAGGCGCUCUCCUGCCCCCUCCCCGCGCCUCGCCCCUGCCCCUAUAGCCCGUCUCCGCUAGGACGGACUAAUCUGCCCGGCUUGCGCCUGCUGCCAACCUUGCCCGCAAUCUAGAGCCCAGCCUGGCCAAGCUAAACCACAAAGGACAAGCAGCUCGGAGCUUAGCGAGUGCUUCCCAGCUGCCCCCCAGGAGUGCUGGGAGCGAGCCUGAAGAGCUUCCCAGAAGACCCGCAAGGCCGCAGCAGCAUCACUUACAGAAACGGCCCGGAUAGUGUUCCUUCUGGAUUCAUCUUCUGGCUUUGUGAUCUUGGAGGGUCUGAUCCUGAGGAGAGAGGAAAAAAGUAGCACCUGAGAUUUAAAGUACCAGAAGAAAAAGACAACAUUCCAAAAAAAAAAAAAUCUAUAUCUGCGAGAACAGCUUUGGAAAUUUUAAAAAUUAUUUUAAAGGGAAAAUUAAAGACAUCAAUAAAAUCAGGAAGGUGAUUAUGAUGACA